UACGAAGGGGGCUAGCGUUGCUCGGAAUCACUGGGCGUAAAGCGCACGUAGGCGGAUCUUUAAGUCGGGGGUGAAAUCCCGGAGCUCAACUCCGGAACUGCCCUCGAUACUGAAGACCUUGAGUCCGGGAGAGGUGAGUGGAACUGCGAGUGUAGAGGUGAAAUUCGUAGAUAUUCGCAAGAACACCAGUGGCGAAGGCGGCUCACUGGCCCGGUACUGACGCUGAGGUGCGAAAGCGUGGGGAGCAAACAGG
rnacentral:rRNA from 1 species